rnacentral:lncRNA from 1 species
GAAUGAGUACAUAUUUAAGUUUAAAACAACCAAUUCCAUCUUUUUCAUGGAUUCUGCCAAUUAUAGAUCCUUCCAUUAUGAAGAAGAGUAAAGCCAGCAAGUUAACCAGAGCACAAAGAAACAAGUCAUCUUGUCCUCAGGGACAGAAUUCAACGCCGUCAAAUCUCUCAUAUUGGGAAAGGUUUUAGAGGCUGCCGGCGCGGACCCGGACACAAGGCGGGCGGCGACUAGUGGCUUCACUGGCUGCCUCUCGGCGGUGCGCUUCGGCCGCGCUGCUCCCCUGAAGGCGGC